rnacentral:rRNA from 1 species
AUUGAACGCUGGCGGCAGGCUUAACACAUGCAAGUCGAGCGGAGAUGAGGUGCUUGCACCUUAUCUUAGCGGCGGACGGGUGAGUAAUGCUUAGGAAUCUGCCUACUAGUGGGGGACAACAUUCCGAAAGGAAUGCUAAUACCGCAUACGUCCUACGGGAGAAAGCAGGGGAUCUUCGGACCUUGCGCUAAUAGAUGAGCCUAAGUCGGAGUAGCUAGUUGGUGGGGUAAAGGGCUACCAAGGCGACGAUCUGUAGCGGGUCUGAGAGGAUGAUCCGCCACACUGGGACUGGGACACGGCCCAGACUCCUACGGGAGGCAGCAGUGGGGAAUAUUGGACAAUGGGGGGAACCCUGAUCCAGCCAUGCCGCGUGUGUGAAGAAGGCCUUAUGGUUGUAAAGCACUUUAAGCGAGGAGGAGGCUACUGAGACUAAUACUCUUGGAUAGUGGACGUUACUCGCAGAAUAAGCACCGGCUAACUCUGUGCCAGCCGCCGCGGUAAGAC